CGCCAGACUCCUACGGGAGGCAGCAGUGGGGAAUAUUGGGCAAUGGGCGCAAGCCUGACCCAGCAACGCCGCGUGAAGGAAGAAGGCUUUCGGGUUGUAAACUUCUUUUGACAGGGAAGAGCAGAAGACGGUACCUGUCGAAUAAGCCACGGCUAACUACGUGCCAGCAGCCGCGGUAAUACGUAGGUGGCAAGCGUUAUCCGGAUUUACUGGGUGUAAAGGGCGUGUAGGCGGGAAAGCAAGUCAGAUGUGAAAACCAUGGGCUCAACCUGUGGCCUGCAUUUGAAACUGUUUUUCUUGGGUACUGGAGAGGCAGACGGAAUUCCUAGUGUAGCGGUGAAAUGCGUAGAUAUUAGGAGGAACACCAGUGGCGAAGGCGGAUUGCUGGACAGUAACUGACGCUGAGGCGCGAAAGCGUGGGGAGCAAACAGGAUUAGAUACCCGUGUAA
rnacentral:rRNA from 1 species